rnacentral:sRNA from 1 species
GCAUGAGCAGCGCCUCCGCGCCUGGCCCGGCGCCCGCCAGCCUCACGCUCUGGGACGAGGAGGACUUCCAGGGCCGUCGCUGUCGGCUGCUGAGCGACUGUGCGAACGUCUGCGAGCGCGGAGGCCUGCCCAGGGUGCGCUCGGUCAAGGUGGAAAACGGCGUUUGGGUGGCCUUUGAGUACCCCGACUUCCAGGGACAGCAGUUCAUUCUGGAAAAGGGAGACUAUCCUCGCUGGAGCGCCUGGAGUGGCAGCAGCAGCCACAAUAGCAACCAGCUGCUGUCCUUCCGGCCAGUGCUCUGCGCGGUGAGCACAGCCCACUUCUCCUCCUCUGCCUCCUAGCUCCAGGCCCUGGCCUCACCGUGGCGCCUAGAAAGGCUGUUCAAGCCCUGCAUGGGGGGUGUGUAAAUAAACUCCCAGAUGGGUGGUAGUAGCAUUAUUUCUCAGCAUCAGAAGGGUGUCUCCAAGAAAGUUGGGAUUGUGGGCGUAGGCCCGGAGUCCAGAAAUCAUCACCACGGACAGCGCUGAGGCCAUCCCAGUCCUGAGCGCCCAGGGUUUCCC